ensembl:lncRNA
AUUCAACCUACCAUGUAUCCAUCACUACAGUAAACACUUUGUCAUAUUUACUUCGGGUCUAAUUUCUUAUUUAACAGAAAUAAGACGGGGUAGAUCGAAAUUAAUAGUGCUUUAGAAAGCCAAAAAACAAGUUGUUUUUUUUUUUUUUUUUUCUGUAACUGUUAUUAUGAAAAUAAAUGCCAGUGAGCCAGAUUUGCCCUCACGCCUCUUGGGGUGCAGCCCUCCAUCUGAGCCCCCUUUUCAGGGCGCCCUUGACCUCUUUGUUGCGAAGGCUGUAGAUGAAAGGGUUCAAGGUCGGCGUGAUGACAGCGUAGACCACGCUGGCCAGGCGGUCGUAGCGGGCUGAGUAGGCAGACGACGGCCGGAAAUACACGGAGAGGAUAGAGCCAAAGAAAAGCGCCACCGCCACUAGGUGGGCCCCGCAGGUGGAGAAGGCGCGGCACCGGCCGCCGGCCGAGCGCAAGCCGAGCACCGCGACCAGGAUGCGCCCGUAGGACAGGAACACGAGGAACAGCGGGGCCAACACCACGGCCAGGCCCUCGGAGAAGAUGGCCCUCUCAGCGGCGGACGUGUCCGAGGUCGCCGAGCUCAGCAUCACCGUCAUGUCGCAAAAGAAGUGGCGCACGGGGGUGGGGUAGGGGUAGGAGAGCGCGGAGAGGAGCAGCGUGUGCAGCAGCGAGUGCAGGUGCCCCACGGCCCACGACUCACGCACCAGCGCGGCGCAGCGCUAUGGCGUCACCAGCGCGCCGUAACGCAGGGGCUGGCACACCGCCGUCGCGCGGUCGUAGGACAUGGCCGCCAGGAGGUAGCUGUCCGUGAUGCCCAGAGCCACGAAGAAGUACAUCUGGGCAAAGCACGCCUGGAAGGAUAUGGCCUGGCCCGGGUGGAGCAGGCCGGCCAGCAGCCUGGGGACCGUCACGGUGGUAAAGCAGACGUCCACGAGGCUCAGGACGUAUCAUUAGAGCCAUUGGUCAAUCUACCGUGCCUAGAUCAAGGACAAGGGAAGAACAGUGGCUGUGCAAUGCAGAAUCUAACUGCACCUGGCAGCAACCAACCCACAGGCUGUGAUCACAACUUUGGUUUUAGAGAGGAGUAGCAGAUAAUACACACAGCAAAACAUCAUUUUACAGUAAGUCGUUAGUCAAAGUCCAGUGUAGGGGCUUAAGUAACAAUAACAUUAACAAU